rfam:Oryza sativa small nucleolar RNA gene ClusterVI
UGCAUGGCAAAUGAUGCUAAAAGCAAGGCUUGUUUCUCAUAACAUUCGCAGUUGCCGCCUAAGAGCUUUCGCCUUGCCAGGUUUGAGAGCUAAUGCUGCUAAUUCCUUCCUUGGAUGUCUGAUGCAAUGCA